rnacentral:rRNA from 1 species
UACGAAGGGGGCUAGUGUUGCUCGGAAUUACUGGGCGUAAAGCGCACGUAGGCGGUCUUUUAAGUCGGGGGUGAAAUCCUGGAGCUCAACUCCAGAACUGCCUCGAUACUGGAAGACUCGAGUCCGGGAGAGGUGAGUGGAACUGCGAGUGUAGAGGUGAAAUUCGUAGAUAUUCGCAAGAACACCAGUGGCGAAGGCGGCUCACUAGCCCGGUACUGACGCUGAGGUGCGAAAGCGUGGGGAGCAAACAGGG